UACGAAGGGGGGCUAGCGUUGUUCGGAUUUACUGGGCGUAAAGCGCACGUAGGCGGAUCGAUCAGUCAGGGGUGAAAUCCCAGGGCUCAACCCUGGAACUGCCUUUGAUACUGUCGAUCUGGAGUAUGGAAGGGGCGAGUGGAAUUCCUGGUGUAGCGGUGAAAUGCGCAGAUAUCAGGAGGAACACCAAUGGCGAAGGCAGCUCGCUGGAACGGUACUGACGCUGAGGCGCGAAAGCGUGGGGAGCGAACAGG
rnacentral:rRNA from 1 species